rnacentral:rRNA from 1 species
AGCAGCCGCGGUAAUUCCAGCUCCAAUAGCGUAUAUUAAAGUUGUUGCAGUUAAAAAGCUCGUAGUUGAAUUUCGGGAUCAGUACGCCGGUCGUGCCUUCGGUAUGUACUGGUGUCACUGAUUCCUCCCUUCUGAAGAACCGUUAUGCCAUUUAUUUGGUGUGACGGGGAAUCAGGACUGUUACUUUGAAAAAAUUAGAGUGUUUAAAGCAGGCUCGCGCUUGAAUACAUUAGCAUGGAAUAAUGAAAUAGGACGUUUGAUCUUAUUUUGUUGGUUUCUAGGAUCGACGUAAUGAUUAAUAGGGAUAGUUGGGGGCAUUAGUAUUCAAUUGUCAGAGGUGAAAUUCUUGGAUUUAUUGAAGACUAACUACUGCGAAAGCAUUUGCCAAGGAUGUUUUCAUUAAUCAAGAACGAAAGUUAGGGGAUCGAAGACGAUCAGAUACCGUCGUAGUCUUAACCAUAAACUAUGCCGACUAGGGAUCGGAUGAUGUUAUUUUUAAUGACUCAUUCGGCGCCUUAAC